GGAGAGGUGGGAGAGUGGCUUAAUCCACCGGUUUGCUAAACCGGCGUACGGUCGAUGCCGUACCGGGGGUUCGAAUCCCCCCCUCUCCG
rnacentral:tRNA from 1 species